GACGAACGCUGGCGGCGUGCUUAACACAUGCAAGUCGAACGGAAAGGCCCUGCUUUUGUGGGGUGCUCGAGUGGCGAAUGGGUGAGUAACACGUGAGUAACCUGCCCUUGACCUUGGGAUAACUUCAGGAAACUGGGGCUAAUACCGGAUCGGAGCUCCUGCUGCAUGGUGGGGGUUGGAAAGUUUCGGCGGUUGGGGAUGGACUCGCGGCUUAUCAGCUUGUUGGUGGGGUAGUGGCUUACCAAGGCUUUGACGGGUAGCCGGCCUGAGAGGGUGACCGGCCACAUUGGGACUGAGAGACGGCCCAGACUCCUACGGGAGGCAGCAGUGGGGAAUAUUGCACAAUGGGCGGAAGCCUGAUGCAGCAACGCCGCGUGCGGGAUGACGGCCUUCGGGUUGUAAACCGCUUUCGCCUGUGACGAAGCGUGAGUGACGGUAAUGGGUAAAGAAGCACCGGCUAACUACGUG
rnacentral:rRNA from 1 species